rnacentral:lncRNA from 1 species
AGGAAGGGUGCUGGGGUGAUCCUGGGUCCCCACGGAGCCUCAGCUGCCUUUUCUCCCUCUCCCCUCUCUCGCAGCGAGUACAGAAAGAAGCUAAAGCAGAUCAGAGGAAAAUAACUAUCGGUGUGGACAAAGUGCCAGAACACAAAUGACAGACGACGUAAGAACAAUUGAAAAGCAUUUAAUAAGCAUCACCUCCUUCCUAAUUGUCAAUGGGAGCUGUUGAGUUUUACCUUAAGUUGUCAGAUAAGUACUGAAGUUUCACUGAGAUAUGAAGAGCCAAGAGAUGCCUGGGUGCUCUGAGACAUGGCCAGGAAAACGUUCUGUUUCAGGCCAGUGGCAGGACAGAAGCCAGCCGAGAGCAUCCCGGUAAUGAGAGAUCAACUCACGUAGAACUGAUCCGGAAAGAAAACGUGGGUACAGAAUAAAGAAAAGCGGAAGGAUAAAAGGUCAGAAGGGCUUCAAACUGGACGCUGCCUCCAGCUGUGCCUGCUGUGCCCACAGCAGGACUGCUCUCAGCAGCCUAAUGAGCUCUGGGAAGUGCAUUCCAAUAAUUCCCCCCUGCGAACCGGCACGAAGCCGGGGUCCAGGCGUGCACUCAGGGCCAGUGCUGGAGGCUGAAGCCACG